GACGAAGGGGGCUAGCGUUGUUCGGAAUUACUGGGCGUAAAGGGCGCGCAGGCGGUUCGGCAAGUCGGGCGUUAAAGACCCAGGCUUAACUUGGGGAAUGCGUUCGAUACUGCCGAGCUUGAGGUCGGAAGAGGAGAGUGGAAUUCCCAGUGUAGAGGUGAAAUUCGUAGAUAUUGGGAAGAACACCAGUGGCGAAGGCGGCUCUCUGGUCCGAAUCUGACGCUGAGGCGCGAAAGCGUGGGGAGCAAACAGGAUUAGAUACCCUGGUAGUCCACGCCGUAAACUAUGUGUGCUAGACGUUGGCAGGCCUAGCCUGUCAGUGUCGCAGCUAACGCUUUAAGCACACCGCCUGGGGAGUACGGCCGCAAGGUUA
rnacentral:rRNA from 1 species